UACAGGGGGUGCAAACGUUGCUCGGAAUUAUUGGGCGUAAAGCGCGCGUAGGCGGCCGUUUAAGUCGGAUGUGAAAGCCCUCGGCUCAACUGGGGAAGUGCACCCGAAACUGAAAGGCUUGAGUACUGAAGAGGGUCGCGGAAUUCCCAGUGUAGAGGUGAAAUUCGUAGAUAUUGGGAGGAACACCAGCGGCGAAGGCGGCGACCUGGUCAGAUACUGACGCUGAGGCGCGAAAGCGUGGGGAGCAAACAGG
rnacentral:rRNA from 1 species